GUGCCCUUCUUAGGGUUGAUGCUUUAAGUGCUUUAAGACGUUAACAUAGAAGGGUAAAGUUAAGUCUUCAUGAAACCCAGAGAAGAGAUUGUAAAACUCCUCUUUGGAUCCUGUCUGGAGUCACAGUA
rnacentral:snoRNA from 12 species